GGAAGGAUUUGCUGCUUGACCAGGAUCAUUGUCUGUGUCAUCCGGUCAGUGGUUACCACCUGUACUUCAAGGUCACUCUCAGAGGAGUCCCCACAGCAUCUGUAUUCCAGGUGAUGCAUUGAAAUGCUUAAACCACAUGCCCCAGGACUACAAAAGUGCUAUUAUUUAUGACUUGUGUGAUAUGGAGAGUAGAAAUGUCGGAGGAUAGAAGAAUUGUUUUCAGUUCAUCAUUACCUGCUGGUGGAGAGUAGAAAUAUCGGAGGAUAGAAGAAUUGUUCUCAGUUCAUCAUUACCUGCUGGUGGAGGCUGAACACUUUAAUAAACAUUACUGUUGUCUUGCUGAGAUGUACCAAUCAGUGCGAGGUUUCAUUUACUGAAAGAAGAGUCGGAGAACUUCCUGGGUCUCAGGAGAUGAUGACAGCCUGACCACAGGAACACUUCCUUCCUCCUACAAGCAGAAAGAGGCUGUCUUACCAUCUGAUUCAUUUCUGGAAAUAGUCUUCCAAAUAGAGCGGCAUCUUUUGGACAAGGGGGACAUCAGUUGUAAAUUUCAGGAUUCCCGAACCCUUUUCUAGAACCAGAGGACCCAAUUUCAACUUAGAACAGACCAUACUUGGAUGAAGGGAUCCAUGAUUGUUCAACUAUAGGGCUUCAACCCAUUCCAAAGGAGAUAGCAAAUAAAUGGCAAAAAUAGGAUUGAGUCGUUUUCGAAUCUUUACAAGAAGCACUGUUUUACAUAGGGCUAUAUUGGGAAAUCUUUGAAAAUCUUUUCUCAAAAACAAAAAACAAAACAG